rnacentral:rRNA from 1 species
GAUGAACGCUGGCGGCGUGCCUAACACAUGCAAGUCGAGCGAACGGACCAGAAGCUUGCUUUUCUGAUGUUAUCGGCGGACGGGUGAGUAACACGUGGACAACCUACCUAUAAGACUGGGAUAACUUCGGGAAACCGGAUCUAAUACCGGAUAAUUUUUUGAACCGCAUGGUUCAAAAGUGAAAGACGGUCUUGCUUUCACUUAUAGCUGGAUCCGCGCUGCAUUAGCUAGUUGGUAAGGUAACGGCUUACCAAGGCAACGAUGCAUAGCCGACCUGAGCGGGUGAUCGGACAGACGGGAUGAGAGACGGGGUACCGACUCCGGCGGGGAGCAGCAGUCGAGAAUCUUACGCGAGGGGGGAGAGCCGAAUAGAGCAACACGGCGGGAGGGAUGAUGCUGUUCUGAUCGUAAAGCGCUGUUGUUCGGAGGGAACAAAUGUGUAUGUACCUGGGAAGAUAAUGACGGUACCUGGACAAAAAGCCACGGCUAACUACGUG